GUCUCCGUGGCGCAAUUGGUUAGCGCGUCUGACUGUUAUGAAUUGGCUGUAUCAGGAGGUUGACAGUUCAAUCCUGUCCGGUGACG